rnacentral:rRNA from 1 species
CCAGCAGUGGAGCCUGCGGCUUAAUUUGACUCAACGCGGGGUAUCCUACCAGGCCCGGACACUCGAAGGAUUGACAGAUUGAGAGCUCUUUCUUGAUUGGGUGCGUGGUGGUGCAUGGCCGUUCUUCGUUGGUGAGGCGACUUGUCUGCUUAAUUGCGAUAACGAACGAGACUCUAGCCUGCUAACUAGUCGAUACCGGCAUCCGUUGUGCAGCCGGCGACUAUAUAUCUUCUUAGAGGGACGGGUGGUGCACAGCCACACGAGAUUGAGCAAUAACAGGUCUGUGAUGCCCUUAGAUGUCCUGGGCCGCACGCGCGCUACACUGAAGGAAUCAGCGUGUGUUUUCCUAGUCCGAGAGGGCCGGGUAACCCGUUGAACCCCCUUCGUGCUAGGGAUUGGGGCUUGAAAUUAUUCCCCACGAACGAGGAAUUCCUAGUAAGCGUGAGUCAUAACCUCGCGUUGAUUAUGUCCCUGCCCUUUGUCCACACCGCCCGUCGCUACUACCGAUUGAAUGAUUUAGUGAGGUCUUCGGACCGGUGCGCGGCUUUCGGAAUUUUUUUCGAAAACCGAUGCUACCGGAAAGAUGAUCGAACUUGAUUAUUUAGAGGAAGU